rnacentral:pre_miRNA from 1 species
GUCAUGGAGCUCUAUGGCCAAGGCGGGCAGAGUGCACCUGAGCCAGUGUCUUCCUGCCAUGGCCAAGGCAGGUGGAGCGCACCUGAGCCAGCGUCUUCCUGCCAUGGCCAAGGUGGGCGGAGUGCACCUGAGCCAGUGUCAUGCUGCCAUGCCCAAGGUGAGUGGAGUGCACCUGAU